rnacentral:rRNA from 1 species
CCUGAGUACGACGGAGCACGUGAAAUUCCGUCGGAAUCUGGGAGGACCAUCUCCUAAGGCUAAAUACUCUCUAGUGACCGAUAGUGAACCAGUACCGUGAGGGAAAGGUGAAAAGCACCCCGGAAGGGGAGUGAAAUAGAACCUGAAACCGUGUGCUUACAAGUAGUCAGAGCCCGUUAAUGGGUGAUGGCGUGCCUUUUGUAGAAUGAACCGGCGAGUUACGAUUUGAUGCAAGGUUAAGCAGUAAAUGUGGAG